UACGUAGGGUGCGAGCGUUGUCCGGAAUUAUUGGGCGUAAAGAGCUUGUAGGCGGUUUGUCGCGUCUGCUGUGAAAAUCCGGGGCUCAACCCCGGACUUGCAGUGGGUACGGGCAGACUAGAGUGUGGUAGGGGAGACUGGAAGUCCUGGUGUAGCGGUGAAAUGCGCAGAUAUCAGGAGGAACACCGGUGGCGAAGGCGGGUCUCUGGGCCGAUACUGACGCUGAGGAGCGAAAGCGUGGGGAGCGAACAGG
rnacentral:rRNA from 1 species